rnacentral:rRNA from 1 species
GACGAACGCUGGCGGCGUGCCUAAUACAUGCAAGUCGAACGCAGUGGGGACGGGUGAGUAACACGUGGGUAACCUCCCAUCAGAGGGGAUAACACUUGGAAACCGGUGCUAAACCGAUACUGAUGGAUGGAACCGCGGUGCAUUAGCUAGUUGGUGAGGUAACGGCUCACCAAGGCCACGAUCCAUAGCCGGCCUGAGAGGGUGAUCGGCCACACUGGGACUGAGACACGGCCCAGACUCCUACGGGAGGCAGCAGUAGGGAAUCUUGGGCAAUGGACGAAAGUCUGAUCGAGCAACGCCGCGUGAGUGAAGAAGGUUUUAGGGUCGUAAAGCUCUGUUGUUAGAGAAGCGGUAUCUAACCAGAAAGCAACGGCUAACUACGUGCCAGCAGCCGCGGUAAUUC